UGUACACGCUGUGACUAGCAUAUCAAUAAGCGGAGGAAAAGAAACUAACAAGGAUUCCCUUAGUAACGGCGAGUGAAGCGGGAAGAGCUCAAAUUUGAAAUCUUGAAAGGUCACCUUUCACGAAUUGUAGUUUAAAGAAGUGUUUUCUGUUACGAUCGUAAUAUAAGUUCUUUGGAAUAGGACAUCACAGAGGGUGAGAGUCCCGUCUAUGAUUGCGAUUUGUAGCUUUGUGAUACACUUUCAAAGAGUCGGGUUGUUUGGGAAUGCAGCCCAAAACGGGAGGUAAAUUUCUUCUAAGGCUAAAUAUUGGCGAGAGACCGAUAGCGAACAAGUACCGUGAGGGAAAGAUGAAAAGAACUUUGAAAAGAGAGUUAAAUAGUACGUGAAAUUGUCAAAAGGGAAGCGUUUAACACCAGUGUUGUUUUCUGAAAAUCAACCUCUGUUAGCUUUAUGCAUGUUUGUUUAGACCUAAUCAGCUAUCUUUCAUGUUCUAUUGUUUGCAGUGGUGCACUUUUCAGUUUACAGGUCAACAUCAGUUUUUUUUACCGUAAAAAAGUUAAAGAAAGGUAGCUCAUGGCUCCGGUCGUGAGUGUUAUAGUCUUUUUCCUAAUGCGGUAGGAGAGACUGAGGUCUGCAGUGUAGGCUAUUUGGCUAGAUACUCAGGUGCUAUGUGAUACCAUUUCAUAAACAACUUGUUGAUUAUGUUUUGUCUAUUGCAUACUCGCUUGUACUAUCAUACCUACGCUUAGGAUGUUGAGUAGCGACAUACGCAC
rnacentral:rRNA from 1 species